GAGAGAUGAUAGGCCAUUACCAAAGUUAAAAGGAAAUUGUUCAUUCACUCUUAACGGCAUGAUAUAUGUGGGAAACAAAUAUGAAGGAAGCACGAAAGCUGACUGCACCAAGCAUCAAGAAAAAUGCAUAGCACAUGCAAGCAUUAUACCCAAUGAAGAAGGAUAGCUGCAUGAAGCCACUCAUACUUGAUCUGGCAAAGAAAAAGAUGCAAUAACUAAACAUAAAAAUGGCUGGUGCACCCCCACACAGCAGAGAUCUCCACCACCAUUGAUGGUCUUCUGCAGAAAGCUGAAUGUAUGUCAUACCAAUACUUAAGAUAGCAGUAAGUAGGAUAAGGAUGAUGAAAGUGACAAACAAAAUGCUGGGCAGUGUGCAUAUUUUAUAGCCCCACAAGCUUGCAUACAAGUGGUGCAACUCAAGGAUUAUCGCACUACAAGUUAAAAGACCCGCAAGAAAC
rnacentral:misc_RNA from 1 species